rnacentral:tRNA from 1 species
GCCUCUGUAGUUCAACGGAUAGAAUAGCGGUUUCCUAAACCGUAGAUUUGGGUUCGAUUCCCAGCAGAGGUA